AACCGGCCAUAAAGCCCUC
rnacentral:miRNA from 1 species